rnacentral:tRNA from 1 species
AGUCCUGUAGCUUAGUGUUUAGAGCACUCGCCUUCCAAGCGAGAGACCUGGGUUCGAUUCCCAGGCAGGGCGA